GAUAUUAGGAGGAACACCAGUUGCGAAGGCGGCUCUCUGGACUGUAACUGACGCUGAGGCACGAAAGCGUGGGGAGCAAACAGGAUUAGAUACCCUGGUAGUCCACGCUGUAAACGAUGAGUACUAGGUGUCGGGGGGUACCCCCUUCGGUGCCGCAGCUAACGCAUUAAGUACUCCGCCUGGGAAGUACGCUCGCAAGAGUGAAAC
rnacentral:rRNA from 1 species